rnacentral:rRNA from 1 species
AUUGAACGCUGGCGGCAUGCCUUACACAUGCAAGUCGAACGGCAGCAUAGAGAGCUUGCUCUCUGAUGGCGAGUGGCGAACGGGUGAGUAAAGCAGCGGAACGUACCGUGUAGUGGGGGAUAACGUAGCGAAAGUUACGCUAAUACCGCAUACGCACUGAGGUGGAAAGCAGGGGAUCGCAAGACCUUGCGCUAUACGAGCGGCCGAUGUCAGAUUAGCUAGUUGGUAGGGUAAAGGCCUACCAAGGCGACGAUCUGUAGCGGGUCUGAGAGGAUGAUCCGCCAGACUUGGACUGAGACACGGCCCAGACUCCUACGGGAGGGAGCAGUGGGGAAUUUUGGACAAUGGGGGCAACCCUGAUCCAGCCAUGCCGCGUGAGUGAAGAAGGCCUUCGGGUUGUAAAGCUCUUUCGGCCGGGAAGAAAUCGCACAGGCUAAUACUCUGUGUGGAUGACGGUACCGGCAUAAGAAGCACCGGCUAACUACGUGCCAGCCGCCGCGGUAA